CAAUCAACAAGUGGGGCUGUAACUCAGUGGUAGAGUGCUUGCUUAGCAACUUAUCUAAUUUGCAAGAAGUCGUGGGUUCAAUUCCCACCAGCUCCAG